CGGGGCGCGAUUCACAUCUCAACCGAAAUAUUUGUAAAGCGAUACGAACGAGUUACGAGAUGAAAUCCGCAAUGUUUAAAAACGCGAUUCAUAGCACACAUACUUUGAUCUCGUUUUCAUAUCGCUAGUUCGUAUUUGGAUGGCUUGAGUGAAAUGAAUGAAACUAUAUUUUUUUUAAUUGCCAUGCAAAAAUUAUAAAUACUACCACUAAUUGUUUUAAAUAAUUUUGUUCCUACAAUAUAUUUUGUUGGAAUUAGUGUCGAUAGCAAGUAUCAAGAAACAGCUUUUUAAUUCAACGUUGAAGAAAUUCAUAACCUGUGGCACUUUUGACAGCCGCCAUGUUUUCUCCAUAAAAACAUUGAUUUUCUUUGCUCAUUUUCGUGUCAACGUAGUUUUUUUGGAAAAUAAGAAGAAAGGAAGUUUAACUUACUUAGAGAAAUACGACUGAGACAUAAACACAAGCAGCAGCCGAUGUGCUUGAGUAGCAGAAGGAGCAACUGCGUUGUGAGAGGGCCACGGCUUCAGCCCUCACAAUGAUAGCUGAUUAGCUGAAGUAAUGAACAGACAGGCUGCAGUCAAUGAGAGGCUUCUUGAGGAGGGGUUCCUCAUAUGGAAAAAGAUUUUAGCGGCGACGCAGUUGCGCGACCAGUGAAGCUCAGGCUCCGCGACCAGCGUGGAGCGCGCGGUCAGCGCGGCGCUGCUGCGGCUGCUGCGCGGGAGGAUCCCGUCCCUGCGCAUGCGCCUGGCCUUCAAUGACCUCACGCCUCUCUUCUUCCUCUUCUUCAUGAGUCAAUUCAAACAGAGGAGCACCUGUGAUUACUGAUUACCUAAGUUCCUAUAUACAAUAAUAGUUUAAUAAUUGUUAACAAAAUAUUGUAUAUAUAAGUAUUAAUAAUUACUUAUACAAAAGGCUAAAAGCAUUUUGUACCAGCCAACCUAUAGGAGAGAAUAUGAGAAAAAUAAUAAGACUUUAAUCUUUGAUUGCCAUUAUCUGUAGCUUUAUUAAGUGGUAAAGGGACCUAAUUACUACCUAUAUUUUUUUAGUAUUUGUGAUAAUUCAUAGAAUUUAUUAGUUCUAUCAAUAAAUAAAAUAUACAUGCAUUACAAUGUGUUUAAUUCAUUAACUUACAAUUUGCACACUGAGGGAA